AUACGUAGGUGGCGAGCGUUACUCGGAAUCAUUGGGCGUAAAGGGCGCGUAGGCGGCCUGAUCAGUCAGAUGUGAAAGCCCGGGGCUCAACCCCGGAAGAGCAUUUGAUACUGUCAGGCUUGAGUAUGGGAGAGGAAAGUGGAAUUCCUGGUGUAGAGGUGAAAUUCGUAGAUAUCAGGAGGAACACCGGUGGCGAAGGCGACUUUCUGGACCAAUACUGACGCUGAGGCGCGAAGGCGUGGGGAGC
rnacentral:rRNA from 1 species